AUUGAACGCUGGCGGCAUGCCUUACACAUGCAAGUCGAACGGCAGCACGGGAGCAAUCCUGGUGGCGAGUGGCGAACGGGUGAGUAAUAUAUCGGAACGUGCCCAGUCGUGGGGGAUAACGUAGCGAAAGCUACGCUAAUACCGCAUACGAUCUAUGGAUGAAAGCGGGGGAUCGCAAGACCUCGCGCGAUUGGAGCGGCCGAUAUCAGAUUAGGUAGUUGGUGAGGUAAAGGCUCGCCAAGCCGACGAUCUGUAGCUGGUCUGAGAGGACGACCAGCCACACUGGGACUGAGACACGGCCCAGACUCCUACGGAGGCAGCAGUGGGGGAAUUUUUGGACAAUGGGCGCAAGCCUGAUCCAGCAAUGCCGCGUGCAGGAUGAAGGCCU
rnacentral:rRNA from 1 species